GGAUCCAUCAGCUCAAGCAACUGAAUCAUCAUACAACUACGACUGGACUCAGGAUAUUUUCAAAUGACACUAAUAGGAAUAUAGCACAAUGGAAGUGUGCGAGUUGCAUGUUGUACUGGCUACAAUUCUUGGUCAAUAUGCGAAUUUUCCAAUGCCAAUGCGACAUUCAGCCAUAUGGAUAAUGCAAACACCAGCCCAAAGGUAAAUGGCUGUGCUGGAAACAUCAGGAGAACACUUGCAGAAACAGUACUCUCUGCUGGUCCUCAGCUUGUUCCUCUGUCUCUCACUAGUCCUUGUCUUCAGAAUCAAAAGAUCCACAUAGGGGAUGCAAAAGUUCAUGUACGCAGUCCAUCAGAAAAAGAUGAUCAGAUGAAUUGUAUUUCUUGAGAAUUUGA